rnacentral:rRNA from 1 species
UACGGGGGGGAGCAAGCGUUGUUCGGAUUUACUGGGCGUAAAGAGCGCGCAGGCGGUCGUUCAAGUCGCGUGUGAAAGCCCCCCGGCUCAACUGGGGAGGGUCACGCGAUACUGAUGACUCGAAGGCAAGGAGAGGGGUAGUGGAAAUUCCCCGGUGUAGUGGUGAAAAUGCGUAGAUAUCGGGGAGGAAACACCCAGUGGGCGAAGGGCGACUACCCUGGCCCUGUUUCUUUGACGCUGAGGGCGCGAAAAAAGCUAGGGGGGG